rnacentral:ribozyme from 1 species
UCUAAGAUUUCGUUUGCGUGGUGCAUAAUGCUGUAUGAUAUUUAUCAUAUAAAUCGCGGUUACGGAUAGACAUAUAGCAGCUUGCCU